rnacentral:snoRNA from 1 species
GCUUGAGUUUGGAUUUAUGACAGCCCCAUCCCCCUGGAUCUCUCAUAGUGUCCCAUGCCAGAGCAAACUGUAGUCCCAAACCAUUGCCUGGCCUUGCCCAUAGGCCUCAGCACUGUAGCAGGUUGCACAGUA